rnacentral:lncRNA from 1 species
AUCGUGGGGAGAAGCAACGCAAGACCCCGGAAGCAUGCCAACGUGUAAAACCCCAAGUCAAAGGUCAAACAGUGCACUGGAUCUCUCAAGUCGCCUGCUUGGCCCUCUACUAAAAAGGGAGAUGCCAUGUGCUGGCCCAGCACUCCAACAGGGGCCUGACCUCUAGGAACGGGACACUGGAGGAAGCCUAGACAUCUGAACAAAUCAAGUCAUCCAGAUCCACGGUCAGCUCCUGCCCCGACUUGGCCUUCCUCCUGCUGGGCUGGCCCACGGACCUCGGGAACCUGCCCUGGCUGUGGGUGACCUGCAGCCUAUCUCCCAGGACUAUGGAAGCCCCAUGCAGGAACAUGGUUCUGACACUUUGGGGAUUAUACCCUAAGCUUAAAGGACUGGAAAAGCCCCUGAAGUCCCGAGACCACAACCCUCCACCUUCUAAAGAUAAGACAAGUCACUGAAGGUAAAAUCAGCUCCUCAGUGUCUCCAAGGACAGGAAUGCCAUGGGCUGGGAGGCGCCAUGGGUGAACAGACUUCCCUACUUCCUGCCUCCCCAAGGGUGGGGAGCAGUCUAGGGGAUGGCUGUACUCCUGGGCCCAGUGUCUAAGUGAAAAUUAGGAGGAAAUGGAGGGAGGGUGGCGAGCGAGGACAGACUGGCCAAGGUCCCCCGCAGCCACUCCUGAAGUCCUCACGAGGGAGAAGCAGCCUCUCCUUCCAGCCUUCCCCAAGUCCUCCCUAAGAGUGUAUUCUACUGGUUUCUGUGCAGAUUUUUUUCGGCUGCGACCAAUAGUAGCUUAAACAUGGAUUAUUUUCUUUUUAAUUUCUUCCUGCAAAAUUCUUAGGAAACCAUUAAUAAAAGUAAUAUACAUGUGAAAUAAUAA